AUUCUUUUAAAAAUCUUCAGUACAUAUACUAAAAUUGGAACGAUACAGAGAAGAUUAGCAUGGCCCCUGUGCUGGGAUGACACACAGUCAAAAGAAAAAAAAAAAAACAGA
ensembl:snRNA U6 U6 spliceosomal RNA